AGUUCUAGAAGCUAGUGAGUUGUAGGAUUCUAUAGAAAGAAAAAGGAGAAAAAAAUAACAUAAUUGUUUAUUAUUAUUUAGGAAUAGGUGUUUUUUCUUGUUUUUAAUUGUUGACAGCCAGUAGACACCAUGUUUAUAUUGGUGAAGGUGAAGCAGUGUAGUUGAUUAUAAUGUGAAAUGGAAGUUGUUUUCUGUUGGUGGUGAGCAAAAGUGUCC